AUGGAGUUGUUGCUUGCCGGGGAGAAGUACAAGGUGGUCGGGUUCGACCUCAAGUACACCCGCGCUCGUGUCGGGUCUUGUCCCAAGGUCGCAUUUGCCCAGAUGUGCGUGCGCCACCACGUCCUCGUCUACCACUACUACCUGGCCACAAGGCCUUGCGAGCAUUUUCCCAGGUUUGUCAACAGCCCCCACUACAUGUUCGCUACGGUGGACAUCACCAACGAUGUAAAGGCACUCGAGAAUUCGGGCAUCGCCUGCCAGAAUCUUGUCGACCUCCAGGGCCAAUACAAGAUCUGGGGAAACAAGGAGCAUGAGAAGGACUCACUGGUUCACCUCGCCGAGGCCAUCAUCGACCCCUACUAA
rnacentral:rRNA from 1 species